UACGUAGGGGGCGAGCGUUGUCCGGAUUUAUUGGGCGUAAAGAGCGUGUAGGCGGCCAGGUAGGUCUGCUGUGAAAACUCGAGGCUCAACCUCGAGACGUCGGCGGAAACCAUCUGGCUAGAGUCCGGAAGAGGAGAGUGGAAUUCCUGGUGGUAGCGGUGAAAUGCGCAGAUAUCAGGAAGAACACCCCGUGGCGAAGGCGGCUCUCUGGGACGGUACUGACGCUGAGACGCGAAAGCGUGGGGAGCGAACAGG
rnacentral:rRNA from 1 species